GAAUAUUGGACAAUGGGGGCAACCCUGAUCCAGCCAUGCCGCGUGUGUGAAGAAGGCCUUUUGGUAGAAAAGCACUUUAAGCAGGGAAGAAGACUCAAUGGUUAAUACCCAUGGACGAUGAAAUUCGCUGCAGAAUAAGCACCGGCUAACUCUGUGCCAGCAGCCGCGGUAAUACAGAGGGUGCAAGCGUGCAUCGGAAUUACUGGGCGUAAAGCGAGCGUAGGCGGCUUGAUAAGUCAGAUGUGAAAUCCCCGGGCUUAACCUGGGAACUGCAUCUGAUACUGUUAGGCUAGAGUAGGUGAGAGGAAGGUAGAAUUCCAGGUGUAGCGGUGAAAUGCGUAGAGAUCUGGAGGAAUACCGAUGGCGAAGGCAGCCUUCUGGCAUCAUAUUGACACUGAGGUUCGAAAGCGUGGGUAGCAACC
rnacentral:rRNA from 1 species